AAAAAGCUUAACAUAGAUGUUGAUAAGCAGAAACGCCAGGACAGUAGAUUUUCAGCCAUAAAAUAAAACAAAACCCAAAAUAUAUUUUUUGGGCAAGAAAAUAAAAUAUUAAUAAUUAAGUGUUUUCUUUUUGUCUUAGUGUAUGUAUACRCUCAACUUCAGAAGAAGAAAAGACUGAAGACAGAAAAUAAAAAUUGUUCAGGAUUAUAACAGCCAUUUCAUAUGUCCCGAGAUAGAAAUAGAUUUCCAUAUCACAGGCUUUUCAUCUUCAUCUCUGUCACAGAAGGGAGCAGAAGUGGUACCACUAUGCAGAAUAAGGACAGCUGAGGUGGCARUACUGUUCCUGAUGAGGACUUCUUCCUUUGUCCAAAGAGAAACUUGAGUUUGCCUUGGAACUGCAUUGUCUGGAACAACAGUGGAGGCAACAUAUAUCAGAUCACACCAAGAAAUAAUGAAUAUGUUCUGUAGCCAAUUGAGGAAGCUGUUACGGAAAUUGCUAAAAAUUGCUUUAUGGAUCGGCGAAUAUUCAAUUGUGUCAUGUAUAGAUACAUCUGCACAUGCUCAACCAAAAGAAAAAUAAAACCUCUACAAUGGG